rnacentral:rRNA from 1 species
GAUGAACGCUGGCGGCGUGCUUAACACAUGCAAGUCGAGCGAAAGGACGAUAAGCUUGUUUCUCUCAUGAUAGCGGCGGAGGGGCGAGUAACACGAGGACAAACCACCUAUAAGUCUGGGAUAACUACGGGAAACCGGAGCUAAUACCGGAGAAUAUUUUGAUCCGCAUGGUGCAAAAGGGAAUGACGGUAUUUCUGUCAGUUAUAGAUGGAUCGGCGCUGCAUUAGCUAGUUGGUAAGGUAACGGCUUACCAAGGCAACGAUGCGUAGCCGACCUGAGAGGGGGGGCGGCCACCCGAGAGGGGAGACGCGGUCCAGGCUCCUACGGGAGGGAGCAGAGGGGUAUGGUAGGCAGAGGGCGGGAGGGUGGCGGAACAGCGCCACGUGGGAUGCAGAAAUCCUGGGAUCGUGAUUCUCUACUAUUGGUAGUGAACAUAUGUGUGAGGAACUGUACACAUCUUGACGGUACCUAAUCAAAAAGCCCCGGCUAACUACGUG